GUGUGUUCCUGGGAAUAUUCGGUGCCUGGUCCCAUAGGAUGGGACGAGAUGUGUUUCUUGUUGCUGGAUUCGUUGUGCAUUUGACAGCGUUCUAUUUGAUUUUCUUAAAUAUGCCUCCGUUGUCGCCCCUGCAGAUGACCAGCGACUUAUCUUAUAUUGGGCCAAAUCCGUACGUCGCCAUGCUUUGCACAGCUUUAAUAGGAUUUGGCGAUGCAAUUUGGAACAAUCAGUUAAUGGCGUAUUUGGGAAGCGCUUAAUUUAUCCUUUUCAAACGGUUGCUGCUUUCGGAGUCUAUCAAUUUAUGACGGCUAUUGGCAAUGUUAUCGCAGCCGGAUACUCUACCGUAUUAGCUUUGCCUUUUCAACUUUUGAUUAUGGUGGUGACCGGCAUUCCGGCCUUGGCGGGAUACUGUUGGUUAGAAUGGAAAACAUUUCUGAAAAAGGGAUUCUCCAGUAGUGGAGGACAAAAAGGAGUGGAAAUGAGCCACUCGCUCCAUCGUUCAAAGACUGGAUAAUUGAAUCAACAAACCACGUGCAACAGGAACGCCUCUGUAAUUACACACUUCUAGUGCAAUAAACCGGAAACGAUGUGGUGGAAAGGCCUUAAAUCAGUGCAAUUAAAUCAGUUAUGCCUUAA